AUUGAACGCUGGCGGCAGGCCUAAAACAUGCAAGUCGAGCGGAGCGGCGGACGGGUGAGUAAUGCCUAGGAAUCUGCCUGGUAGUGGGGGAUAACGUCCGGAAAAGGGCGCUAAUACCGCAUAAUAACAGAUGAGCCUAGGUCGGAUUAGAUAGUUGGUGGGGUAAAGGCCUACCAAGGCGACGAUCCGUAACUGUUCUGAGAGGAUGAUCAGUCACUCGUGAACUGAGACACGGUCCGGACUCCUACGGGCGGCAUCAGUGGUGAAUAUUGGACAAUGGGCGAAAGCCUGAUCCAGCCAUGCCGCGUGUGUGAAGAAGGUCUUCGGAUUGUAAAGCACUUUAAGUUGGGAGGCGUUACCAACAGAAUAAGCACCGGCUAACUUCGUGCCAGCAGCCGCGGUAAUAC
rnacentral:rRNA from 1 species